rnacentral:misc_RNA from 1 species
AACGCACGAGACCUGCGGACCUGCGGAGGGAUCAUUAACGCGCCGUGGAGGUUGCCUUUAAACAGGUCUGACCUUCCACCUGGCCACCCUUGUUUAUCUUUAACCUGUUGCUUUGGUGGGCCCGCUGCAAGGCCGCUGGAGAAUUUAAAAGUUUUCUGGCCCGUGCCCACCAAAGUCCUAGGGAACUCUUUGUUAAUUUUCUGCUGUCUGAGCAUUAAAAGAAACAAUUUUUAAAACUUU